rnacentral:rRNA from 1 species
GACAGAGGGUGCAAGCGUUGUUCGGAAUCACUGGGCGUAAAGCGCACGUAGGCGGCUAGGUAAGUCGACUGUGAAAUCCCAAGGCUCAACCUUGGAACUGCAGCCGAUACUGCCUAGCUUGAGUUCCGGAGAGGUUGGUGGAAUUCCUGGUGUAGAGGUGAAAUUCGUAGAUAUCAGGAGGAACACUGGUGGCGAAGGCGACCAACUGGACGGAAACUGACGCUGAGGUGCGAAAGCGUGGGGAGCAAACAGG